AUUAAUGCACGCUAACCCUCUCAAAUCGAUUAAACCCAUCUGGUUUAGGAAGCUUGUUAGUCUUCAAUAUUUAGAUCUUUCUGGAACUCGUCUCAAAGUUGUUCCCCCAACCUCUUUUAGCAAACUUAACGCAUUGACUUAUUUAGAUCUGCGGCUUAAUAAAAUUAAAAAUAUUGGACAUGACGCUUUUAAUGAAUCUUUAAAGAGGAU